GAUGAACGCUAGCUACAGGCUUAACACAUGCAAGUCGAGGGGAACGACAUCGAAAGCUUGCUUUUGGUGGGCGUCGACCGGCGCACGGGUGAGUAACGCGUAUCCAACCUGCCCACCACUUGGGGAUAACCUUGCGAAAGUAAGACUAAUACCCAAUGACGUCUCUAGAAGACAUCUGAAAGAGAUUUAAAGAUUUAUCGGUGAUGGAUGGGGAUGCGUCUGAUUAGCUUGUUGGCGGGGUAACGGCCCACCAAGGCGACGAUCAGUAGGGGUUCUGAGAGGAAGGUCCCCCACAUUGGAACUGAGACACGGUCCAAACUCCUACGGGAGGCAGCAGUGAGGAAUAUUGGUCAAUGGGCGAGAGCCUGAACCAGCCAAGUAGCGUGCAGGAUGACGGCCCUAUGGGUUGUAAACUGCUUUUAUAAGGGAAUAAAGUGAGCCUCGUGAGGCUUUUUGCAUGUACCUUAUGAAUAAGGACCGGCUAAUUCCGUG
rnacentral:rRNA from 1 species